GUGGCGCACGGGUGAGUAACGCGUGGGAACCUGCCCUCGAGUGGGGAAUAACGACGGGAAACUGUCGCUAAUACCGCAUACGUCCUUCGGGAGAAAGGCUUCGGCCGCUCAAGGAUGGUCCCGCGUCCGAUUAGCUAGUUGGUGAGGUAACGGCUCACCAAGGCGAUGAUCGGUAGCUGGUCUGAGAGGAUGAUCAGCCACACUGGGACUGAGACACGGCCCAGACUCC
rnacentral:rRNA from 1 species